GACGAACGCUGGCGGCGUGCUUAACACAUGCAAGUCGAGCGGUAAGGCCCUUUCGGGGGUACACGAGCGGCGAACGGGUGAGUAACACGUGGGUGACCUGCCCUCAGCUCUGGGAUAAGCCUGGGAAACCGGGUCUAAUACUGGAUAUGACUCCAUGACGCAUGUUGUGGGGUGGAAAGCCUUGUGCGGCUGAGGAUGGGCCCGCGGCCUAUCAGCUUGUUGGUGGGGUGANGGCCUACCAAGGCGACGACGGGUAGCCGGCCUGAGAGGGCGACCGGCCACACUGGGACUGAGACACGGCCCAGACUCCUACGGGAGGCAGCAGUGGGGAAUCUUGCGCAAUGGGCGAAAGCCCUGACGCAGCGACGCCGCGUGAGGGAUGACGGCCUGGU
rnacentral:rRNA from 1 species